rnacentral:rRNA from 1 species
GAGUUUGAUCCUGGCUCAGGAUGAACGCUAGCGGCAGGCUUAAUACAUGCAAGUCGAACGGUAACAUGAGAGCUUGCUCUUGAUGACGAGUGGCGCACGGGUGCGUAACGCGUAUGCAACCUACCUUUUACUGGGGGAUAGCCAGGAGAAAUUCUGAUUAAUACCCCAUAGUACUGUAAUGUAGCAUUACAUAGCAGUUAAAGAUUUAUUGGUAAAGGAUGGGCAUGCGUGACAUUAGUUAGUUGGUAAGGUAACGGCUUACCAAGACGAUGAUGUCUAGGGGUUCUGAGAGGAAGGUCCCCCACACUGGUACUGAGACACGGACCAGACUCCUACGGGAGGCAGCAGUAGGGAAUAUUGGUCAAUGGACGCAAGUCUGAACCAGCCAUGCCGCGUGCAGGAUGACAGCUUUCUGAGUUGUAAACUGCUUUUAUAUAGGAACAAAGAGGCCAUGCGUGGCAAGUUGCGUGUGCUAUAUGAAUAAGCACCGGCUAACUCCGUGCCAGCAGCCGCGGUAAUACGGAGGGUGCAAGCGUUGUCCGGAUUUAUUGGGUUUAAAGGGUGCGUAGGUGGUUUUUUAAGUCAGUGGUGAAAGCCUACAGCUUAACUGUAGAGGUGCCAUUGAUACUGGAGAACUUGAGUAUGGACGAGGUAGGCGGAAUUUGUGGUGUAGCGGUGAAAUGCAUAGAUACCACAAAGAACACCGAUAGCGAAGGCAGCUUACUGGACCAUAACUGACACUGAGGCACGAAAGCGUGGGGAGCGAACAGGAUUAGAUA